GGGGACAUAGUAUAACCUGGCUAGUAUAGGAGCCUCCAGAGCUUUAGAUCUGGGUUCGAAUCCCAGUGUCCCCA
rnacentral:tRNA from 1 species